UCUAUAAAGCAAACAAGUCUUGCAAACCUGGAAGGAUAAUAUUUUAUCGAGAUGGUGUUAGCGAAGGCCAAUUUAGCCAGGUCUUGCUUUAUGAAAUGGAUGCAAUAUACAGGGCUUGUUCUAGCUUAGAGAACGGAUACCUUCCUCAAGUUACAUUUGUUGUGGUACAAA